rnacentral:lncRNA from 13 species
AGCUCCUUGGCAAAAGAUUCUCAGGCAAAUCCAAGGGAACACAGCAAAAGCGCCAUGAAACAAGGUAUUUAUACAACAAUUUAACUCUUUCAAUGGACGGCCAAUCCAAAAAUGUUUAAAUCUACUUACAACCUGGAAGCCUCCACUGCAAGUUAUCCG